rnacentral:rRNA from 1 species
UUUUUAUGGUCGAACAGACCAACCUUUAGUAACUGCUGCAUUACUAGGAAAUCUUAAUUCAACAUCGAGGUGUCAAACUCUAUCUUCGAUAGCGUCUCUAAGAUAAAAUUAACCUGUUAUCCCUAAAGUAGCUUUUAUUUAUUGAUUGUCAUUUAUGUUUUUUAAAAUUAACAGGUCACUAAAUCCACUUUGUGAUUGUUAAAUUGAUAAAUUAAACAAAAAUUAAGAAUUUUAAUAAAUUUACAUUCUUUUAUUUUAAAAUGUUGUUGCCCCAACCAAACUACCUAGCUUGAAUUUUUGCGUUAAUUAUUAUAUUUUAAUUAAUGCAAUUUACAAACGAAUAGUUAAGCUUUAUAGGGUCUUCUCGUCUUACAGUUUUAAAUAGCAUCUUCACUAUUAAUUAAAUUUUUAUUUUUAUUCUUAAGACAGUGGAAACCUCGUAAGACCAUUCAUCUACGUUCAUCAAUUAAAUGACUAUUUAUUUUCCUACAUUAACACCGUCAGGGAUACAGCGGCCGUUGAAUUUAUUUAAGUAAUUCUAGAUUAAAAUAUAAACCACUGGGCAGGUACCACCUUUAAAGAUAUUUAAAAGGCUAUGUUUUUGGUAAACAGUCGA